rnacentral:lncRNA from 1 species
UGAAACUAGUAAUGGAUUUAAAGAACGGAUGAGUGGAAUAUAUGUUCACAAAUGUUAUCCCCGGGGAAGUUGGAUAAUGUAAGUAUACUCUUCUCUGGUUUGUGUUUAUUCCAAUUUUUAGUCAUUAUGAUUGUUAUGUUCCUGCCAUAGAGCCUAUUAUUUUAGAUUAAGUUGCCUACAAGUCUCAAGUUGCAUCUUGCAGGUAACUUUUUUGUCCCACAUUUCGUAACAACUUUAAGAAACAUGCUUUUUUCGUUGUCCUGCGUUUUAUACUCAACAAUGUUAUUGAAUGAUUUAUAUUUCUCCUCCAAUGGCUUUUGCUACAACAGAUCCUUUGCUGAAAUUACUCUAACCUUGUAUCCAUAUUCUAAUAUAUACAGGUAAUCGUCUUUAGUAAGAAAUUAGCUUUAUAUUUGUUCCUUCAAUGAGAGAAGUUGUCAUGGUAAGAAUAGUGAGAUUUUGCUUUAUAUUUAUACCUUUCAGUCUGUUUUUGUUUCAUAUAUUUGCUACUCUUAAUUCCUCUCAUAUUGUUUAAUUUUUAGGGACUUCUUGGUAAUAUGAGAAUGGUGUUGGCUUGCGAGCAAUCCUAAGGCAUUCAAGUUGAUUAUUAGUUUGCUGCGAGUAAUCCUAAGAUGUACAAGUUGAUUAUUAAUUGUUUGCUACAUAGGAACAUUAAGUGUAGGGAUAGGUGAG